rnacentral:rRNA from 1 species
GCCAUCGGCCAUACCACGCUGAAUGCGCCGGUUCUCGUCCGAUCACCGAGCUAAGCAACAUCGGGCUCCGUCGUACUUGGGGGGAUGGGAACACGGAGUGCUGAUGGCA